UACGAAGGGUGCAAGCGUUACUCGGAAUUACUGGGCGUAAAGCGUGCGUAGGUGGUUCGUUAAGUCUGAUGUGAAAGCCCUGGGCUCAACCUGGGAAUGGCAUUGGAAACUGGCGACCUAGAGUGCGGUAGAGGGUAGUGGAAUUCCCGGUGUAGCAGUGAAAUGCGCAGAUAUCAGGAGGAACACCAAUGGCGAAGGCAGCUCGCUGGGACGGUACUGACGCUGAGACGCGAAAGCGUGGGGAGCGAACAGG
rnacentral:rRNA from 1 species